rnacentral:rRNA from 1 species
UUUUGGUAAGCAGAACUGGCGAUGCGGGAUGAACCGAACGCGGGAGUUAAGGCGCCAAAAUCGACGCUCAUCAGACCCCAGAAAAGGUGUUGGUUGAUCUAGACAGCAGGACGGUGGCCAUGGACGUCGGAAUCCGCUAAGAAGUGUGUAACAACUUACCUGCCGAAUCCAUAGGCUCCGAAAAAGGACGAUGCUCAAGCCGUUCUCACUUAUAGCAUGCCGC